rnacentral:rRNA from 1 species
GACGAACGCUGGCGGCGCGCCUAACACAUGCAAGUCGAACGGAGAGGCCCUGCUUUUGCUUGUCUCUCGAGUGGCGAACGGGUGUGUAACACGUGAGUAUCCCGUCCUUUACUGUGGGAGAACUUCGGUAGACUGGGCCUAAUACCGCGUAUGAGCUCCCGCUGCGGGGUGGGGGUGGGAAAGUAGCGGCUGUUGGGGACAGACUCGACGCUCGUCAGCUUGUUGGGGGGGUGGUGGCUUAGCAAAGCAUUGCGGGGUAUCCGGCCCGGGCGGGUAGGCGGCCACAUCACGACUGAGAUGCGGCCCAGACUCGUACGGGAGGGAGCAGUGGGGAAUAUGACACAAUGGGCGGAAGCCUGAUGCAGUGCCGCCGCGUGGGGUAUGACGGCCAUCGGGUUGUAAACCGCUUUCGCCUGUGACGAAGCGUGAGUGACGGUAAUGGGUAAAGAAGCACCGGCUAACUACGUG